rnacentral:snoRNA from 1 species
AGCCUCAUGCCAUAUGAGAAUGGGCACAGUUGAUCAUGGUAUCUGGAAUUGACAAUGUGGCUAAACUGAGGUACAGGUUAUCCUUCCAACACAGUAAAUUCAUUGCAGUGGUAACAAUGAGAAUUGUAACAUUU